GAUGAACGCUAGCGAUAGGCUUAACACAUGCAAGUCGAGGGGCAGCAUGGUCUUAGCUUGCUAAGGCUGAUGGCGACCGGCGCACGGGUGCGUAACGCGUAUGCAACUUGCCUCACAGAGGGGGAUAACCCGUCGAAAGACGGACUAAUACCGCGUACACUCUAUGUUGGGCAUCCAAUGUAGAGGAAAUGAAAUUCGCUGUGAGAUAGGCAUGCGUCCCAUUAGCUAGUUGGUGAGGUAACGGCUCGCCAAGGCGACGAUGGGUAGGGGAACUGAGAGGUUGAACCCCCACACUGGUACUGAGACACGGACCAGACUCCUACGGGAGGCAGCAGUGAGGAAUAUUGGUCAAUGGGCGAGAGCCUGAACCAGCCAAGUCGCGUGAAGGAUGACUGUCUUAUGGAUUGUAAACUUCUUUUAUACGGGAAUAACAAGAGUCACGUGUGGCUCCCUGCAUGUACCGUAUGAAUAAGCAUCGGCUAACUCCGUG
rnacentral:rRNA from 1 species